rfam:Oesophagostomum dentatum strain OD-Hann O_dentatum-1.0_Cont12359.2, whole genome shotgun sequence.
AUCGCUUCUCGGCCUUUUGGCUAAGAUCAAAGUUUAGUUUCUGUUCUUAUCGAAUUAACCUUCGAUAGAGUCUCGAAUGAGUCUCGGUAAGGUUAUUUGGUUUUUGGGACUGGACGAGGUCGCGAGCUUGCUCGCACCUCGUCACGGAUCGGCCCAGCUUUGCACUGCUGCUGGGAUCGGCCCACUUCCA